UGAAAUGUCCUCUAAUAAGUGGGAGGGCAUUAAUAAUUUAUUAAAAUGUAAUCGAAUUUUUGCGGAAAUGACGGAUUUUGCCGCACAGGGACGGGUCGGGGAGGUUGUUUCUCUAAUUAUUUUGCUGUUGGGAAGUGAAAGAGUGGGUUUUGGAGCGGGGAGUGUUCGGAACCACAGCCACAUUUUUUCUGUAGGCUUUUCAUAUAUAACUAUAGAUUUACAACGUAUUUUCCAGUGGUGCCCUCAUAUUGUGACUAAGUAAAAUAUGGUAAUAGUUUUAUAUCAUACGUGACAUAAUGUUUUUUUUAAUCCUUUUAAAUAAACGUAUUUUCAC
rnacentral:lncRNA from 1 species